rnacentral:rRNA from 1 species
UACGUAGGGGGCUAGCGUUGUCCGGAAUCAUUGGGCGUAAAGAGCGUGUAGGCGGCUCGGUAAGUCCGCUGUGAAAGUCCAGGGCUCAACCCUGGAAUGCCGGUGGAAACUGUCGGGCUAGAGUCCGGAAGAGGCGAGUGGAAUUCCUGGUGUAGCGGUGAAAUGCGCAGAUAUCAGGAGGAACACCUAUUGCGAAGGCAGCUCGCUGGGACGUUACUGACGCUGAGACGCGAAAGCGUGGGGAGCAAACAGG